GUCUAAGAUAAGGGUAGAUAGAUGUGCGAGCGUGCCAUCAACAUCGGGCUAGCUGCAAAGAUGGUAAUCCGAGAGAAGAUAAAGAGUAGCGUAAGUUCAAGUACCAUGACCUUCAAAGACUUUUGCCACUGUCAUACCACCAUUUAAAGAAGAUGGAUUUGGAUAGAGAUAAGGGUGUAGUACUAGGCUAUGGUGGUAGAAAUUUUAACUUACAAUUACUUUUAGGGUAGAAGCUACUGGUAGAUUAAGAGCUACGAUAAGAUAAAAUAUAUUAAUAUGGAUUGUCGAAGGAUUUUUUUAGAAAGUACAAAUUUAUUUAUUUAUACUAAAAGACAAUAACUGCCCACUCUGAUAGUUUCCAUCACCUAUGGCCUCUACUCUUGGCAGUUCUAAUAACUAACACCAGUCUUCCUCCCACUAUAAAUGUUUAUUGGCAUAGUU
rnacentral:lncRNA from 1 species